rnacentral:rRNA from 1 species
AUUAAACGCUGGCGGCAUGCCUUACACAUGCAAGUCGAACGGCAGCACGGGGGCAACCCUGGUGGCGAGUGGCGGACGGGUGAGUAAUACAUCGGAACGUGCCCUGGAGUGGGGGGAUAACGCAGCGAAAGCUACGCUAAUACCGCAUAUUCUGUGAGCAGGAAAGCAGGGGAUCGCAAGACCUUGCGCUUUGGGAGCGGCCGAUGUCGGAUUAGCUAGUUGGUGGGGUAAAGGCCUACCAAGGCGACGAUCCGUAGCGGGUCUGAGAGGAUGAUCCGCCACACUGGGACUGAGACACGGCCCAGACUCCUACGGGAGGCAGCAGUGGGGAAUUUUGGACAAUGGGCGGAAGCCUGAUCCAGCCAUGCCGCGUGAGUGAAGAAGGCCUCGGUUGUAAGCUCUUUCGGCCGGGGGUAAGGAAAAGUUAGGCUUGGGGUUAAUACCUGAGUAGAUGA